rnacentral:tRNA from 1 species
ACCUGAGUGGCUCAGUCGGUUAAGUGUCUGACUUCGGCUCAGGUCAUGAUCUCACCGUUCGUGGGUUCGAGCCCCACGUCAGGCU